rnacentral:rRNA from 1 species
UGCAGUCGAACGAACUUCCGUUAAUUGAUUAUGACGUGCUUGCACUGAAUGAGAUUUUAACACGAAGUGAGUGGCGGACGGGUGAGUAACACGUGGGUAACCUGCCCAGAAGCAGGGGAUAACACCUGGAAACAGAUGCUAAUACCGUAUAACAGAGAAAACCGCCUGGUUUUCUUUUAAAAGAUGGCUCUGCUAUCACUUCUGGAUGGACCCGCGGCGCAUUAGCUGGUUGGUGAGGUAACGGCUCACCAAGGCGAUGAUGCGUAGCCGACCUGAGAGGGUAAUCGGCCACAUUGGGACUGAGACACGGCCCAGACUCCUACGGGAGGCAGCAGUAGGGAAUCUUCCACAAUGGACGCAAGUCUGAUGGAGCAACGCCGCGUGAGUGAAGAAGGGUUUCGGCUCGUAAAGCUCUGUUGUUAAAGAAGAACGUGGGUGAGAGUAACUGUUCACCCAGUGACGGUAUUUAACCAGAAAGCCACGGCUAACUACGUGCCAGCAGCCGCGGUAAUACGUAGGUGGCAAGCGUUAUCCGGAUUUAUUGGGCGUAAAGCGAGCGCAGGCGGUCUUUUAAGUCUAAUGUGAAAGCCUUCGGCUCAACCGAAGAAGUGCAUUGGAAACUGGGAGACUUGAGUGCAGAAGAGGACAGUGGAACUCCAUG